rnacentral:rRNA from 1 species
CCUACGGGCGGCAGCAGUGAGGAAUAUUUGUCAAUGGGCGGAAGCCUGAACCAGCCAAGUAGCGUGCAGGAUGACGGCCCUACGGGUUGUAAACUGCUUUUAUACGGGAAUAACGCGCCUUACGUGUAGGUCUUUGCAUGUACCGUAUGAAUAAGGACCGGCUAAUUCCGUGCCAGCAGCCGCGGUAAUACGGAAGGUCCGGGCGUUAUCCGGAUUCAUUGGGCUUAAAGGGAGCGUAGGCGGGCGUUCAAGUCAGCUGUAAAAUCGCGCGGCUCAACCGCGCCCCGCAGUUGAAACUGGACGCCUUGAGUUCACAACAGGCAGGCGGAAUUCGUGGUGUAGCGGUGAAAUGCAUAGAUAUCACGAGGAACCCCGAUUGCGAAGGCAGCCUGGCGGGGUGCGACUGAUGCUGAGGCUCGAAGGUGCGGGUAUCAAACAGGAUUAGAUACCCGGGUAGUC